UAAACAACCACUCAAGCAGUCACAAAAAGUGUUUCCUCAAGUUCAGCUCAACGAUUUCUUGCUAACAGCCUCUUCUACUGUGGACAUUACAAGAACUAAAGAGUCACAGAGACUGACCAGAGCGACUAAAGUAACUUUCAUCAUGGAAAAUUGUGACGUUCCCGUUCUCCUGACCGACAACCAGACAGGAAGGAGAACCUCUGCUCGCCAGGCAGAGAGCGCGUCGAGGCCCUCAGCCUGGAGACAGUGUUCAUGCUGCAGGGACAAGCAGGGGCCGACUCUAAAGAGAAAGCGCCGGCCCUCUGCUGCUCCCGGAGACCUUCACCAGAAGAGGAAGCGCACCUCCGGAGCCCGUCCCCUCCCUGACCAUCCAGAGGUGUUGGACUGUGUCCCCGCUGUGCAGCCCUCCCCAGCUGGUGACCAUUCAGGGUCUUUGGUGGAGAAGCCUAGAGCCACCAUCCCACCUGCUGACCUGCCCCGAGUCUCCUGUGUGGCCCCCAGCCUCCAGCCCUCCACUGCUCCACUGCACGACGGGCCUCUGAAGAUAUUCAACCUCCCAAUGGAAGAAUACCAGCAGCUGUACCACGAGGUUGUUGAUGAAAUGCUGAGGU
ensembl:lncRNA